GACGUAGGGUGCGAGCGUUGUCCGGAUUUAUUGGGCGUAAAGAGCUCGUAGGCGGCUCGUCGCGUCGACCGUGAAAACCCGCAGCUCAACUGCUGGGCCUGCAGCCUGAUACGGGCAGGCUAGAAUUCGGUAGGGGAGACUGGAAUUCCUGGUGUAGCGGUGAAAUGCGCAGAUAUCAGGAGGAACACCGGUGGCGAAGGCGGGCUC
rnacentral:rRNA from 1 species